AACGAACGCUGGCGGCAGGCUUAACACAUGCAAGUCGAACGGAUCCUUCGGGAUUAGUGGCAGACGGGUGAGUAACGCGUGGGAACGUACCCUUUGCUACGGAAUAACUCAGGGAAACUUGAGCUAAUACCGUAUGUGCCCUACGGGGGAAAGAUUUAUCGGCAAAGGAUCGGCCCGCGUGGGAUUAGCUAGUUGGUGGGGUAAUGGCCUACCAAGGCGACGAUCCAUAGCUGGUCUGAGAGGAUGAUCAGCCACACUGGGACUGAGACACGGCCCAGACUCCUACGGGAGGCAGCAGUGGGGAAUAUUGGACAAUGGGCGCAAGCCUGAUCCAGCCAUGCCGCGUGAGUGAUGAAGGUCUUAGGAUUGUAAAGCUCUUUCACCGGUGAAGAUAAUGACGGUAGCCGGAGAAGAAGCCCCGGCUAACUUCGUG
rnacentral:rRNA from 1 species